ACAACACUCACUGAAAUACUGACAACCAACCCACCUUCCUCUCAUUCUUCAUAUUCAUAUUAAUUCUCUCUUCCUCCAUUCAUAUUCCUUCCUUUCUUCAUUCUCUUACUCUCUCUUUUCUCUCUACACUUUUAGUGCAAUUGUGGGAGCUUCUUUUCAACUUAUAACCAAAUAGUAUUGCACCACCUCAACAACCUAAGGUACUAAGCUAGAAUUAAUAAGAUGAGUAGAUAGAAGAAGAUAUAUAGAUAGAAAAAAAGAUCAGAGAGAUGAAGGGUUUGGGAAGGCUUGUGGUGAAUCUAAAGUCAAAGAUAAAGUCAUUGAAAAUGAUGAAGAAAGCAUCAUCUUAUUAUUAUGAUAAGAUGGAGAAGAGUGAGAGCAUGAGGGUUGAGAUUCGAAGCAGAAAAGCCAGAAAGCUUAUUGAAGACACACUCAAAAUUGCUGAUUCACCAAAAUCUUCCAAGACUUACACCUUCUAAUAAUUGUAUUAUCUUCUUCAAUGUAGUAACAUAUAUAUACAUUCUCUUUAAUAUAAGUUAAUUAAUUAAGCUUAUGUAAUGUAAUGCUCUUCCAUAUUUAUGUACUUCCAAUUUCAGUGUGUAUAACGUAUAUUUAGCUUAA